rnacentral:rRNA from 1 species
CUACUCCUACGGGGGGCAGCAGUGAGGAAUAUUGGUCAAUGGUCGGGAGACUGAACCAGCCACGUCGCGUGAAGGAUGACGGCCCUACGGGUUGUAAACUUCUUUUGUCAGGGAGCAAUUGGGUCCACGCGUGGGCUUAGCGAGAGUACCUGAAGAAAAAGCAUCGGCUAACUCCGUGCCAGCAGCCGCGGUAAUACGGAGGAUGCGAGCGUUAUCCGGAUUUAUUGGGUUUAAAGGGUGCGUAGGCGGAAUAUCAAGUCAGCGGUAAAAAUUCGGGGCUCAACCCCGUCGUGCCGUUGAAACUG